UUUUAAUUGAAAGACGAAGAGGAUAAUAAUUAAAGAAUGAGAGUAGAAAAGGAACUGACUUUGAUGAGAAGGAUGAGGAGAGCGGCCGAUGCCUUGAAGUUCUUUAGCGGGCAAAGAUGGCAACAAAGCAGCUUCCAAAAUCGUCGUCACGCAAGCCAUAAUAUUCUAUUGUGAUAAUGUUUUCCAAAGCUUGACUAUAAUCAUCUUCUAUAUACAAUCCAUUGAAGCAAAAAUUAUU